GUGAUUCAGUCUGAGUAGGAAGGCCUGAGAACCAGAGGAGCCUGUGGUGUAGUUUUCAGUCUGAGGCCGAAGGCCUGAGAGCCAGGAGGGCAGCUAGUGUAAGUCUCAGAGUUCAGAGGACUGAUAACUCAGCAUUCUGAUGUCUUAGGGAAGGAGAAAGUAGUCCCAGCUCCAGCAGAGAGAGCAAAGUUUCCCUUCCUCAGCCUUUUUGUUCUGUCUGAGCCCCUCAAGGGACUGGAUCUGAAUGAUGCUUACCCAUCUGAGGGCAGGUCUUUCUUAUUCAGCCUGCUGAUUCAAAUGCUAAUCUCUUCUGGAAAUACCCUCAAAGACAUACCCAGAAAUAAUCCUUUACCAGCUACCUGGGCAUCUCUUUGCCCAGUCAGGUCGACACAAAGUUAACCUUCACAGCUGUAGAAAGCGACAUUGACUUAUUAUAGCCAGAAUGGUCUCAGGACUUCCUGAGUGUGUGUGACUAACUAACCCUACAGUUAAUGCAAGAACUGCCCCUCAUACAUGUUAGUUACCUUAACAGCCCCUCAUCCAGACCUGUCCAAGCAGCCUUUCUCUGAAUACUUGUUUCAAAGGCAGGCUUCUCAAAGAUGCAGGAAUACCAUUUAAUCUCUAGGUUGAAUAGACAGAAUUCAGUUAACAUUAGAGUAGUGAAUUCAGUUCAAGAAAAUACUUAAGCAGUAAAUUCCACUGAAAUCCUAGGGAAAGUUUGGACAUUGCCACUCCAGAGGGGAUUAGAUUUCACUUGCCUAAUUAACUUGAGGAUGAAGAUAUCAUCAGCAGCCAAGUUCUAAACAAGUACUUGCUCUUUGAUUCAGACCUUUAAAAAUUGUAUAUAUACAUUUCUUCCCCUCAGCAAUCCUUUCUUCAAAACAAGGAGAAGUUUUUUUUAAAGAUACUGCAUUCCAGGCCUACUUAACGAUCUUAUCAUAGCACUAAUUGCUAUGUACUAGUAAUGUAGCAGCUGAAUUUGUUGUUCCCUUCAACUCUGCAGGAAAUGUGAAAGUCUGUAAAAUAGCUGAUGUCUUCAGUAAUCAUCCACAUUCUGGCUAGCACUCAAGUGGACUGGGGAGACCUACUGAGGCAGGCCUAUGUUUGAGUAGGAUCCCUUUUCCUCUGUCUUGUAUCUCAGCCAAUUAUCAGGAAUGAGGACUUGUGCAUUAGUUAGUUGUUCUAUGUACAUCUAUUGAUAGCUCUCACUGUUGAGGGCUCACAGAGUAAUCUCAUCUUGGCAUUACAACCUCCCACUUCCUUUCUGAUAACUUUUGUUUUUUAAACAAUUUGCUUUAAAAUUGAUUCAAAUCUUUAUGAUUAAGGCCACCUUGGUCUUUUAUUGGCAGCUGCCCUAGGAAUCCAAGAAUUGGCCCAAGUAACCAUUUGCUAGAAAGGAAUAAAAGAGUCCCCUGAGGUGACUUGGGAAUCUCAAAACAAAUUUAUAAUUUUGAUGUGAGACCAAGAGAACUUAUCAACUCAAUUAAAAUUGCCCUAUGAUUAGCCUUCCCAUAGCCCUCUGAGUGGCCAGGUCCCAGAAAGGUCAAGCAGCCUCAAAGGAGCAUUUAAUAAAUAUUUUAGUUCCAAGAUAAUAUACAUUGCUGGAAAAGGGAAGAGAGCAAACCAGAGGCAAUAAGUAUAGCAUUCUAUUCUCUUUAGUGUCUUGGAAUCUUCAACAAAAGUUUGCCUUAUUUUGGCUAAGUAGAGAAAAUUUAUGAGCCAAGCGGGCAAUGGACAGCUGUCUAUGUAUUGUGAUUCAAUAGAAGGCUGGGCUGGGGCUCCGCCUCUAAAGUUAUAAUAUUUGCCUUCUUACUAUGGCAUCAUCUUUCUAUUGGGUUUUGGCUAGUGCACUCAAAUUGAGAACACAGCUUCACAGGCAGAACACAACACACAGAUGCAAGGUCUCCUGAUGGCAGAAAACCUUAUAACCAGAGACGGGGUUACUCCGUGUUAGCCAGGAUGGUCUCGAUCUCCUGACCUCGUGAUCCACCUGCCUUGGCCUCCCAAAGUGCUGGGAUUCUGUAAUCCCAGUGAGCCACCGCGCCUGGCCCAUAUGCUUCAGGUGACUACAGCCAGCUCCAGAGGUUCCAAAGAUCUUAAAGAUGUCCCAGAAAAGUUCUAGAGUACUAUCAGAUCUCACACUUUGCCUUGGAAGCUGUCAUUCCCCUCCAUUGGCCCCACAACUGCAGUAUAAUCUUCAGUGACAGGAGAAAAUCGACCUUGUUUGUACAGAAGUCUCAGCAGGAAUAGGCAGAUGCCUGUUUUUGCUGCCAAGGAUGGAGGAUUGGAAUGGGCCCAUUAUAUAUUUUGAGGCUUUGAAGAAAAGUCUCAGGAU
rnacentral:lncRNA from 1 species